rnacentral:rRNA from 1 species
GUCCACGCCCUAAACUAUGAUCACUAGGUGUUGGAGGUCUCGACCCCUCCAGUGCCGACGCUAACGCAUUAAGUGAUCCGCCUGGGUAGUACGGUCGCAAGACUAAAACUCAAAAGAAAUAGACGGGGACCCACACAAGCGGUGGAGCAUCUGGUUCAAUUCGAUAGUAAGCGAGGAACCUUACAAGGCUUGACAUCCCGGGAAGCUGCCGAAAAGGUGGCUGUGCCGUAAGGAACCCGUGACAGGUGCUGCAUGGUUGUCGU